rnacentral:rRNA from 1 species
UCGUCAGCUCGCGGCGUGAGGUGUCGGCUUAAGUGCCACCCACGAACGCAACCCCUCUCUCCGGUUGCCAUCAGGUCAAGCUGGGCAAAAAGGAGACACUGCCACCGUAAGGUGCGAGGAAGGUGGGGAUGACGUCAAAUCAGCACGGCCCUUACGUCCGGGGCUACACACGUGUUACAAUGGGUGGUACAGAGAGCGGGGAGCCCGCAAGGUCUCUCAAAUCUAUAAAUCCAUCCUCAGUUCGGACUGGGGUCUGCAACCCGACCCCACGAAGCUGGAUUCGCUAGUAAUCGCGCAUCAGCCAUGGCGCGGUGAAUACGUUCCCGGGCCUUAAACACACCGCCCGUCAAGCCAUGAAAGCCGGGGGUGCCUGAAGUCCGUGACCGCAAGGAUCGGCCUACCGGCAGUAGGGGGUAAUUGGGGCUAAGUCGUAACAAGGUAACCGUA